CAUCAUUUUACACUCUGUGUGUUUUGAAUGCUGCACAUGCCUGCCUCCUACUCUGUGGUGGGAAGUGGGAUGCCUGUACUGACACCCCAGCUUGGGUAAAGAGCUGUUGGGAGGAAGGCAGAAGACAUGGGGUGCCAUGUGCAGACAUGCACUGGCCCCAGGCAGCCUGGACAGCAGCUCCAGCAGAUAAGUGAGCUAAGACAUAGGAUAAGCAUCAGCAUUUUAUUUUGGUAGCAAG